rnacentral:rRNA from 1 species
UACGCUGACCAGCAACUUGGAGGAAUGUAUAGCAAUAGCUACUUGUAUCAUUAAUGAUGCAAGCUCGACUAUGUUGAAUAAAGUUCUAGGUAGAAUUAUGAUAAUGACAUUGUCUGCCUAUGUGUCUUGACCAAAUUACCGUGCCAGCAGUCGCGGUAAUACGUAGAAGACUAGUGUUAUUCAUGUUUAAUCGGUUUAAAGGGUACCUAGACGGUGAAUCAAGCUUUAAAAUAAAUAAGAAAAGGGACUAAUUCGCUAGAGUUACUUACGAGGGGGUAUUAAAGUACUGCUGGUGUAGAGAUGAAAUUCUGUCAUACCUCUUUUCGAAAGAAAAAUCAUGGCACAGGUAUAGGCGAAGGCAUCCCCUUAUGUGAUAACUGACGUUGAGGGACGAAGGCUUCGUGUAACAAACAGGAUUAGAUACCCUAGUAGUUGAAGCAGAAAAUGAUGAAUGUCAUAGAUUAGACGUCUAAGUUUAUUCUAUAAAUGAAAGUGUAAGCAUUCCACCUCAGGAGUAAUUUGGCAACAUUGGAAUUGAAAUCAUUAGACCGUUUCUGAAACCAGUAGUGAAGUAUGUUGUUUAAUUUGAUAAUCCACAAAAAACCUUACCACAAUUUGAAUAUUUAUAUUCUUUAUUGUUAUCUAAUUAAUUUUCUUCCUUUUUUAAUUUUAUAAUUAAAAACCAAAACCAACCAAAAACAGGAAAAGAGAUGCCGACAAUGCUGGCUAUGCUGGCGAUGCUGACUGAGCUGGCAUGAAAAUUAGUCAAGAGGCAAUAACAUAUAUUUACAAGCGUUGCACGGCUGUCUUCAGUUAAUGUCGCGAGACUUUGGUUAGUUCCAUUAAAUUAACGUAAACCCUUACUUUAUUUUUUAUAUAGAGUAGUUCCCCGCUAUAUUGGAUAUGAUAACAGGGACUAAGACAAGUCAUCAUGGCCUAAAUAUUGUGGGCUAUAGACGUGCCACAUAAACCUUACAAAAGGGUGUGAAAUUG